UACAGAGGGUGCGAGCGUUGUCCGGAAUCACUGGGCGUAAAGGGCGCGUAGGCGGCCUGAUAAGUAGGGGGUGAAAUCCUGCGGCUUAACCGCAGGGCUGCCUUCUAAACUGUCGAGCUUGAGCACGGUAGAGGCAGAUGGAAUUCCCGGUGUAGCGGUGGAAUGCGUAGAGAUCGGGAAGAACAUCAGUGGCGAAGGCGGUCUGCUGGGCCGUUGCUGACGCUGAGGCGCGACAGCGUGGGGGAGCAAACAGG
rnacentral:rRNA from 1 species